GCGCCAACGCCUUACCACCUUCGGGACCCCUGGAUCCUGCUGCAGCUGGACCGUGGCAUAUAUUUGCAUCCCUGGUUGAAAUGUGUCAUGCCCAGAGCCUGGCCUACGACUUGGUCCAUGGGGUCCACUUCUUACUGGGAGGUGUCAUGUCUGUGCCUGUAUUGGAUAUAAGGAGACUACAGCAGGCUCUUGGACAUUGUUAACUUCCAAGGUGACAGUGGCAGUGGUGGCUUGUGAAGCCAUGGCCAAAAUGAAGACUUGAGACCUUUGCAACAAGAAGAAGGAUCUGAAGGUGGGAGUGUCCCAGUUGUGUGUCGUCAAAGUGACAGGUGGUGGCAUGUUUUCCUAGCUCUCUAAGAACUAAAUUGUUAACAAAUCCAUUGCCCAUGUUCUCUCCAUCAUUAAUGAGACUCAGAACCUUAGGAAAUUCUACAAGGGCAAGAAGUACAAGUCCCUGGAUCUGCAGUCCAAGAAAACAUGGGCCAUGCUCUACCCGCUCAACAAGCAAGAAGAGAAUGUGAAGACCGAGAAGCAGCAGUGGACCCUAGCCAGUUUUUCUCAGUGGUUAGAGCUUGGCCUGUAGACCAAAGAAUCACAAGAUCGAUCCCAGUCAACGGCAUGUACCUCGAUUGUGCUUAG